rnacentral:rRNA from 1 species
CGUUCUGUAAGCCUGUGAAGGUGUGCUGUGAGGCAUGCUGGAGGUAUCAGAAGUGCGAAUGCUGACAUAAGUAACGAUAAAGCGGGUGAAAAGCCCGCUCGCCGGAAGACCAAGGGUUCCUGUCCAACGUUAAUCGGGGCAGGGUGAGUCGACCCCUAAGGCGAGGCCGAAAGGCGUAGUCGAUGGGAAACAGGUUAAUAUUCCUGUACUUGGUGUUACUGCGAAGGGGGGACGGAGAAGGCUAUGUUGGCCGGGCGACGGUUGUCCCGGUUUAAGCGUGUAGGCUGGUUUUCCAGGCAAAUCCGGAAAAUCAAGGCUGAGGCGUGAUGACGAGGCACUACGGUGCUGAAGCAACAAAUGCCCUGCUUCCAGGAAAAGCCUCUAAGCAUCAGGUAACAUCAAAUCGUACCCCAAACCGACACAGGUGGUCAGGUAGAGAAUACCAAGGCGCUUGAGAGAACUCGGGUGAAGGAACUAGGCAAAAUGGUGCCGUAACUUCGGGAGAAGGCACGCUGAUAUGUAGGUGAAGUCCCUCGCGGAUGGAGCUGAAAUCAGUCGAAGAUACCAGCUGGCUGCAACUGUUUAUUAAAAACACAGCACUGUGCAAACACGAAAGUGGACGUAUACGGUGUGACGCCUGCCCGGUGCCGGAAGGUUAAUUGAUGGGGUCAGCGCAAGCGAAGCUCUUGAUCGAAGCCCCGGUAAACGGCGGCCGUAACUAUAACGGUCCUAAGGUAGCGAAAUUCCUUGUCGGGUAAGUUCCGACCUGCACGAAUGGCGUAAUGAUGGCCAGGCUGUCUCCACCCGAGACUCAGUGAAAUUGAACUCGCUGUGAAGAUGCAGUGUACCCGCGGCAAGACGGAAAGACCCCGUGAACCUUUACUAUAGCUUGACACUGAACAUUGAGCCUUGAUGUGUAGGAUAGGUGGGAGGCUUAGAAGUGUGGACGCCAGUCUGCAUGGAGCCGACCUUGAAAUACCACCCUUUAAUGUUUGAUGUUCUAACGUUGACCCGUAAUCCGGGUUGCGGACAGUGUCUGGUGGGUAGUUUGACUGGGGCGGUCUCCUCCUAAAGAGUAACGGAGGAGCACGAAGGUUGGCUAAUCCUGGUCGGACAUCAGGAGGUUAGUGCAAUGGCAUAAGCCAGCUUGACUGCGAGCGUGACGGCGCGAGCAGGUGCGAAAGCAGGUCAUAGUGAUCCGGUGGUUCUGAAUGGAAGGGCCAUCGCUCAACGGAUAAAAGGUACUCCGGGGAUAACAGGCUGAUACCGCCCAAGAGUUCAUAUCGACGGCGGUGUUUGGCACCUCGAUGUCGGCUCAUCACAUCCUGGGGCUGAAGUAGGUCCCAAGGGUAUGGCUGUUCGCCAUUUAAAGUGGUACGCGAGCUGGGUUUAGAACGUCGUGAGACAGUUCGGUCCCUAUCUGCCGUGGGCGCUGGAGAACUG